UACGUAGGGGGCUAGCGUUGUCCGGAUUUAUUGGGCGUAAAGAGCGUGUAGGCGGCUUGGUAGGUCUCGCGUCAAAACCUGAGGCUCAACCUCAGUUCGCGUGGGAAACCACCUAGCUAGAGUCCGGAAGAGGAGAACGGAAUUCCCAGUGUAGCGGUGAAAUGCGCAGAUAUCGGGAAGAACACCCGUGGCGAAGGCGGCUCUCUGGAACGCAACUGACGCUGAGACGCGAAAGCGUGGGGAGCAAACAGGG
rnacentral:rRNA from 1 species